AUUGAACGCUGGCGGCAGGCCUAACACAUGCAUGUCGAACGAGCGGCGGACGGGUGAGUAAUGUCUGGGAAACUGCCUGAUGGAGGGGGAUAACUACUGGAAACGGUCGCUAAUACCGCAUACCAUCGAAUGUGCCCAGCUGGGAUUAGCUAGUAGGUGGGGUAAAGGCUCACCUCGGCGACGAUCCCUAGCUGGUCUGAGAGGAUGACCAGCCACAAUGGAACUGAGACACGGGCCAGAGUCCUACGGGAGGCAGCAGUGGGGAAUAGUGCACAAUGGGCGCAAGCCUGAUGCAGCCAUGCCGCGUGUAUGAAGAAGGCCUUCGGGUUGUAAAGUACGUUCAGCGGGGAGGCGUUACGCGCAGAAGAAGCGCCGGCUAACGCCGUGCCAGCAGCCGCGGUAAUUC
rnacentral:rRNA from 1 species